UCAGUCAGUCUAAAGUGAAGAGAGAAAUUGGAAUGGCAUGAACAUUAGGGUUCCAAGAAGCAGAUCUGAGGUCACAAAACACUUGGCUCUGCCAAACCAAAGCCCAGGCUGAGAACACCCACCUGGGAUGGCUCAGAAUUUAUCUCAAAUUUGAUCUUUUUCUUUUUACGUUACCUCAAAUUCUGAUAUAAUGCCAAAAAUACAACCAAGUUCGUAAACUGGAUGACCAAGGCUUCCUGUUGAAAAGCAGCUCCAAUUUACAUCCACUGUUGUUGCUCCUGGUUCCUGUCCUAUCCUGGCCCCCCAAGAAAUGCCUUAAUUUCUUAAUCAUUUUGAUGAUCUUGUUCUCAUUGGUUUAAUGUAUUUCUCUGUUCUUGUUUCUUGUCCUUACAUCAAAUGCUCUGUGUCCUUCUUUCAUUAUAUGUCUGUUUGGAAAAUUAGGCUUUACUAUUUUCCAACAUUGCUUGCUACCUCCAUGAUUUUAGGAUGAUACUUUUACCAGUUCUCAAAUAUUGCCAGAAGGAACCAAUUAACAUUUUCUCUAGACUUUAUCUUGGAAAUAAAAAGAUAAUAAAUAAUUUUCCUCACACUACAAAAUGGAAUAGAAAA